GAUGAACGCUAGCGGGAGGCUUAAUACAUGCAAGUCGAACGGCAGCGUAGGACUUCGGUCCUGAUGGCGAGUGGCGCACGGGUGAGUAACGCGUACACAAUCUACCUAUAAGCGGGGGAUAGCCACUGGAAACGGUGAAUAAUACCCCAUAGUAUUACCUUUUAGAUUAUUUGGUAAUUAAAGCUCCGGCGCUUAUAGAUGAGUGUGCGUCCGAUUAGCUAGUUGGUAAGGUAAUGGCUUACCAAGGCUACGAUUGGUAGGGGGCGUGAGAGCGUGAUCCCCCACACGGGUACUGAGACACGGACCCG
rnacentral:rRNA from 1 species